rnacentral:rRNA from 1 species
UACGUAGGGUGCAAGCGUUGUCCGGAAUUAUUGGGCGUAAAGAGCUCGUAGGCGGUUUGUCGCGUCUGCUGUGAAAACUCGGGGCUUAACUCCGGGCCUGCAGUGGGUACGGGCAGACUAGAGUGCGGUAGGGGAGACUGGAAUUCCUGGUGUAGCGGUGGAAUGCGCAGAUAUCAGGAGGAACACCGAUGGCGAAGGCAGGUCUCUGGGCCACUACUGACGCUGAGAAGCGAAAGCAUGGGGAGCGAACAGG